GACGAACGCUGGCGGCGUGCUUAACACAUGCAAGUCGAACGGUAAGGCUCCAGCUUGCUGGGGUACACGAGUGGCGAACGGGUGAGUAACACGUGGGUGACCUGCCCUGCACUUCGGGAUAAGCCUGGGAAACUGGGUCUAAUACCGGAUAGGACCGCACCGUGAGGGUGGGGUGGAAAGUUUUUUCGGUGUGGGAUGGCCCCGCGGCCUAUCAGCUUGUUGGUGGGGUAAUGGCCUACCAAGGCGGCGACGGGUAGCCGGCCUGAGAGGGUGGACGGCCACAUUGGGACUGAGACACGGCCCAGACUCCUACGGGAGGCAGCAGUGGGGAAUAUUGCACAAUGGGCGGAAGCCUGAUGCAGCGACGCCGCGUGGGGGAUGACGGCCUUCGGGUUGUAAACUCCUUUCGCCAUCGACGAAGGGUUUCUGACGGUAGAUGGAGAAGAAGCACCGGCUAACUACGUG
rnacentral:rRNA from 1 species